rnacentral:rRNA from 1 species
UACGUAGGGGGCAAGCGUGGUUCGGAAUUACUGGGCGUAAAGGGCGCGUAGGCGGCUUUUUAAGUCGGACGUGAAAUCCCUGGGCUCAACCCAGGAACUGCGUCCGAUACUGGAAGGCUUGAAUCCGGGAGAGGGAUGCGGAAUUCCAGGUGUAGCGGUGAAAUGCGUAGAUAUCUGGAGGAACACCGGUGGCGAAGGCGGGUCUCUGGGCAGUAACUGACGCUGAGGAGCGAAAGCGUGGGGAGCAAACAGG